rnacentral:lncRNA from 1 species
UUAACUUAUGGCAAUAUACUUGUUUUGCAUCAGUGCAAUAACAAUCCAUUUUCUUUUGUAACAGGAUGCAAUUGUAGAAACUGGUUGGUUGUUUUACCAAGGCUUUGACUGGAAAGUUGUGCUUCCCUUUAAAGAAUCAAGCUUGAUAUGCAGACCCAAUAAAAGCCCCUUGAGAAAACUGGCCUUCAUACCUUGUCAACACAGUCCUGUAUAGGGUUCUUAACCUGUGAGUAUCCUCAUUCUUCUUGGGCAUGGUACAAGAACUCAGGAACCACCAAACAUGAUACAAGCUAUAACACAGGCCAGUUGGGGCAUGCCAGCAUGGCCGAGUGGGACCCAGGUGGAGCACUGCCAGCUGGGGCUCCCUGCUCUGCAACGUGACUGAGAAUAAAAAUCCUACAUUGGUUUUACGUAACAGAAGGUGAACAUCUGAUAAGAAAGGGUGACAAAAGGAAAAGUCAACCAUGCAGAUGUCUCUGGGUAUGUGGGGGAGUGACUGGUCUCACCUUGACUUUAUUCUGCACCUGGGCAGGUGGGUUUGUAAUUGACACGACCAGUGUGCAACUGAACAGACUUUAGUUUUAGGAGCUGGACUUAGACUGCAGUCCUAAAGUUUCAAUUGGCCUGUCCUCAUUCAUGAGAGGCCAGCAGAGAAUUCACGCAGGGAUCAUCUGUGUGGGCAGCUUUUCCAGAUGCCUGAGGCCUUUCCCAUUCUCUUUGGGUCUGGCUGAUACAUGAUGUUAGUGACAGUCAAUUCAUUUGGAAGAGGGAGUGCAAUGACUUUCCCUUUUGCAUAAGAAGUUUUGGGGGUACUGAGAUUUUUAGUUUCCUUUACAAGACCUUCCCGCAAAUAAGUACAAGAGGACCCAGAGUGUGGGGUGUCUGGCUGUCUGAGCAGUUGGGCCACUGACGCUGAGGACAAUGUGAGAAAGCCUGUCCUGGUGGAAGGGAGAGCAAAGGUGGAGAGAAAGGAAGCUCCAUGUUAGUUUUUGAAACACACCACAGCUGAAGGUCAGUCCCCAAAGCUGGUUAUGGUUGAAAGGGAGGAAAAGCUGCUCCCACGUGGCUCUGGCUGAGGCUUCCGAGACUCUGCAGGUGGGGGCCGUCUGUCUUCCCCAGGUGGGAGCUACUUCUUUUUAGAAGCAGGCUCCACGGCGGUUUUCAGGUGUGGCCUUGCCCAGCGUCCCGAUGUUUUGCUUCCUGCCUGGCCUCGGCGCUCUUUGAUGACCUCCUCUUGCCACACACUGUGGUCUCCAUAGGCUGCCCACUGCUGAUCCGAGGCUGGUGGCCCCCAGCACACGUGGGUUUCUGAGGAACACGCUGAGACUCUCGGGCCAUGCCGUGACACAGGGGAGACAGCGUCUGCUCUUUUUCCAUUUUUGUUCGUUUUCAGUGCUCUGACCCUCAGGAAGCCCACUUAAGCAUCCCAGAAUCCAGACGGCCGUGAACAAAGCUGCUGUGGUUUGGGGCUGCAAAACUGGCCCACAGCCCACCUGGAUAACUGAAUCGAACAUGCCUCAGCCGCCCUCACCACAGGCACCAUCCCCCUCACAGAAGUUUGAUGUCUGAUCAUUCAGCACUGGCUGAGCCUCAGAGCUAAAAUGGAAAAUGCAUUUUAUGAGCAGAUAACACAUUUUUGGAAUGGCUACUUUAAACAUUGUGGAUACAGAUUCACAGAGACUAUUUUUAGAUGAAUUAUUUCUUCUAUUUACCAUACUGAUUUGCUGGAAGAAAGAAAAACAAUAUUUUAAAAAGGGAAAACAUUCUUUAAAAGCAGUGACUCUAAAUUUCCCCUGAAGAGCAAAAUGCUGUCUGUGUCUCACUCAAUGUGGUGGCUGCUACAGGAGGAUCUUCCCAGGCCUUCUCAGGGAAUUCCCAUCAGGAUCACAGGAAUGGUACCUGGCAGACACAACCCAGUCUGCACCUUCCAUGGGCCACAGCUGAUGGUACGAGGAGAGGUGUGACAUCUGCCUGACCUCAGCUCUGGGGGUUCCUGUGGGUGGACAGAAGGAGCCCUGGAGGCCCGGCCAGGAUGCGUCAUCUGUGGCUACCACGUGGAUUCUCUGGUGUGCUGAGUCAAGGCAGCGAUCUUCCAAGUGUGGUCGCUGUACCUCCAUCAGCACCUCCUGGGACUUGUCAGGACGCUGACCCGGGCCCCAGCCAAGUUCUGCUGCUGCCUCAGGGGGACAGAGGCAGGGCCUCACUGUCUGAUGAUCCAGCCCUGCAGGGGGCCCGCUGCACCUGCAGGUGUGAGAGCCGCCGCUGAAUUAAGGCUCAGUUCAAAAGCCACCAUUUCCACCAAGACGUGGUGACCUCAACUGGAUUGGAGACAACGCCUCUCCCCAGCUCCUCUGGAAUAUGGUUCUGUCCUCUGAGCCUGGUAUCGGCGUCGAUGCUGUCUACAUGCGCUGCUGGCUGGUCGCCUACUGGAUGUGUCUGCCCGCUGGGGGAAGGAACCAGGCCCUGGAAUGGGAUCCUGAGUAGGAGCACAGUCUGGAUAUUCCUGCAGGAGUGAAGAGACAUUCUCAGGGCGGAUGUUGCCAGGACAAAGAAACACAAGCAACAACAAGAACAAAACUGGAGUUGUCUCUCUCACAACUCAAGUGGAGCCUGAGGAAUAACAAGAGCUCAUUAAAUAUCUGUUGCAUGAAUGAGUGAAUAAAUGAAGGGAGGACUUUUAUGAAAACACUUCUUUACAUCUGGAAAUGUUACCCCCACGUUUUCUGGCAUCUGAUGUUGCUGCAAAUGUGAAGCCAAGGAGACCCUCCAGGAUGCCCAAGCCUGGGAGAAAUCCUGAUGACUGGGGGUUGGAAAAGAAGCAUGACACAUAAGAAAUGUUAGUUCUCUAUUCUUAUCAUUGAUUAUCAGAGUAGAUUAACCAUAAAACUAACAAUGCUGAAACUUGAGGACCUUCCCCAGAACUGCUGGGCCUCCAGCAGCAUGAUGCAUAGGUUUUUGUGAAAUUUUCAAAAGAUUUUUAACUGCAAUCAGCAAAAACGAUUGUCUCUCUCAGUCCAACUUCCCAGCAGUCAAAUUUCCCACAGUGGCAAAUGAUGUCAGAAUUGCUACAGCAUCUUUUGAGUCUGUCUAAGGGGAAGUAGAGCCAUGGGUGCAUUUGGUUCAGAGUUAGUGGAGUACGUGUAUAUGGUCAUAGUCACUUCUGUGUUCUGAUAGUGAAAUGGUUUUGAAAACUACUCCAAUAACCCACUCUGCUGACUUACCCAGCAUCUUGGUGUUGCAGGAAAUCAGGGACCCCGAAUGGAGGGACUGGCUGGAGCCGCGGCAGAGGAAC